rnacentral:rRNA from 1 species
AGAGUUUGAUCCUGGCUCAGGAUGAACGCUGGCGGCGUGCCUAACACAUGCAAGUCGAACGGGCGCGGCGUGCGGCAGGGGCCUCGGCCCCUGCGGCGCCGCGCGAGUGGCGGACGGGUGAGUAACGCGUGGGCAACCUGCCCUGUACUGGGGGAUAACACCUGGAAACAGGUGCUAAUACCGCAUAAGCGCGGCGUGCCGCAUGGCAUGGCGCGGAAAACCCCGGUGGUACAGGAUGGGCCCGCGUCUGAUUAGCUGGUUGGCAGGGUAACGGCCUACCAAGGCGACGAUCAGUAGCCGGCCUGAGAGGGUGGACGGCCACACUGGGACUGAGACACGGCCCAGACUCCUACGGGAGGCAGCAGUGGGGGAUAUUGCACAAUGGGGGGAGCCCUGAUGCAGCGACGCCGCGUGGGUGAAGGAGCGUUUCGGCGCGUAAAGCCCUAUCGGCAGGGAAGAAGAUGACGGUACCUGACCAAGAAGCCCCGGCUAACUACGUG